ACGGGAGGCAGCAGUGAGGAAUAUUGGUCAAUGGACGAGAGUCUGAACCAGCCAAGUAGCGUGCAGGAUGACGGCCCUAUGGGUUGUAAACUGCUUUUGUACGGGAAUAAAGUGACCUACGUGUAGGUUUUUGCAUGUACCGUAAGAAUAAGGACCGGCUAAUUCCGUGCCAGCAGCCGCAGUAAUACGGAAGGUCCGGGCGUUAUCCGGAUUUAUUGGGUUUAAAGGGAGCGUAGGCCGUGCUUUAAGCGUGUUGUGAAAUGUAGGCGCCCAACGUCUGCACUGCAGCGCGAACUGGAGCACUUGAGUACGCAGGAAGUAGGCGGAAUUCGUCGUGUAGCGGUGAAAUGCUUAGAUAUGACACAGAGCACCGAUUGCGAAGGCAUCUCACGAAUCCGCUAUUGACGCUGAGGCACGAAAGUGUGGGGAUCAAACAGGAUUAGAUACCCUGGUA
rnacentral:rRNA from 1 species